rnacentral:piRNA from 2 species
UAUUUUGAUUCCAGAUGUGUUCCCAAAUGC